UAUAUAUAUAUAUAUAUAUAUAUAUAUAUAUAUGUUGACUUGGUACCCUUGAUACCAUAUAUAUAUAUAUCCAUCUGUUUUAUACCGCUUGUCCCUCAACACAGGACCAACAUUCACACACUAGGGUCAUUUUUUUAGUGUUGGCAAUCAACCAAACCCCAAGUACAUGUCUUUGGAGGUGGGAGGAAGCCUGAGUCACAGGGAGAACAUGCAAACUCCACACAGAAAGACGCCAAUAAUAGAAUAUUAUAUAUAUAUAUAUAUAUAUAUAUAUAUAUAUAUAUAUAUAUAUAUAUAUAUAUAUAUAUAUAUAUAUAUAUGUACACAAAUCUGUGGGCUACAGCUAGAAUGUGUCACCAACAUAUUUUCACAAUAUAACAAUAGUGCUAAAAGCUUUAUAGGCGACUAAAUCUAUAUAAUUUAUUUGGAUAUAUUGUCUAUAUCGUGCAACUUUACUAUAGAUUUGUUGCUGUCUGACAUGGACGUGCAGCCAGCAAACAUGAAGAUGACCUGCAAGGGAGCUUUCUCAAAUAUAGGCUUAAAAAAGAAAAACAUAUUUGAAAAUAUGAAUUGAUUCAGAAUCGGAAUAAAUCUGAUUAAUAGAUUUUAUGAGCACCAAAACUGACUCUGACAGCUUUUUUCCCUGAUUAUUAGUUACAUAAACUUUGUCUUUUUUUUACGUUAUGAGAUUAUUGGUGUCAUGUCUUUUACUAAAUCAAACUGAUGUUGUGAGAAUGAAGGUGAACCUCUUUUACAUACAUGAACAUGUUGGGGGGUGGAGGACAUAACACAUGCUCCAAGUAUGGAUGACCCAGGUGAAGAAGGACAUUACACAUGCUCCAAGUGUGGAUGACCCAGGUGAAGAAGGACAUAACACAUGGUCCAAGUAUGGAUGACCCAGGUGAAGAAGGACAUAACACAUGGUCCAAGUAUGGAUGACCCAGGUGAAGAAGGACAUAACACAUGCUCCAAGUAUGGAUGACCCAGGUGAAGAAGGACAUAACACAUGCUCCAAGUAUGGAUGACCCAGGUGAAGAAGGACAUUACACAUGCUCCAAGUAUGGAUGACCCAGGUGAAGAAGGACAUAACACAUGCUCCAAGUGUGGAUGACCCAGGUGAAGAAGGACAUAACACAUGGUCCAAGUAUGGAUGACCCAGGUGAAGAAGGACAUAACACAUGGUCCAAGUAUGGAUGACCCAGGUGAAGAAGGACAUUACACAUGCUCCAAGUAUGGAUGACCCAGGUAAAGAAGGACAUAACACAUGCUCCAAGUAUGGAUGACCCAGGUGAAGGACAUUACACAUGCUCCAAGUAUGGAUGACCCAGGUGAAGAAGGACAUAACGCAUGGUCCAAGUAUGGAUGACCCAGGUGAAGAAGGACAUAACACAUGCUCCAAGUAUGGAUGACCCAGGUGAAGAAGGACAUUACACACGCUCCAAGUAUGGAUGACCCAGGUGAAGAAGGACAUUACACAUGCUCCAAGUAUGGAUGACCCAGGUGAAGAAGGACAUUACACAUGCUCCAAGUAUGGAUGACCCAGGUGAAGAAGGACAUAACACAUGCUCCAAGUAUGGAUGACCCAGGUGAAGAAGGACAUAACACAUGCUCCAAGUAUGGAUGACCCAGGUGAAGAAGGACAUAACACAUGGUCCAAGUAUGGAUGACCCAGGUGAAGAAGGACAUUACACAUGCUCCAAGUAUGGAUGACCCAGGUGAAGAAGGACAUAACACAUGGUCCAAGUAUGGAUGACCCAGGUGAAGAAGGACAUAACACAUGCUCCAAGUAUGGAUGACCCAGGUGAAGAAGGACAUAACACAUGGUCCAAGUAUGGAUGACCCAGGUGAAGAAGGACAUUACACAUGCUCCAAGUAUGGAUGACCCAGGUGAAGAAGGACAUAACACAUGCUCCAAGUAUGGAUGACCCAGGUGAAGAAGGACAUAACACAUGCUCCAAGUAUGGAUGACCCAGGUGAAGAAGGACAUAACACAUGGUCCAAGUAUGGAUGACCCAGGUGAAGAAGGACAUUACACAUGCUCCAAGUAUGGAUGACCCAGGUGAAGAAGGACAUAACACAUGCUCCAAGUAUGGAUGACCCAGGUGAAGAAGGACAUUGCACAUGCUCCAAGUAUGGAUGACCCAGGUGAAGAAGGACAUUGCACAUGCUCCAAGUAUGGAUGACCCAGGUGAAGAAGGACAUUACACAUGCUCCAAGUAUGGAUGACCCAGGUGAAGAAGGACAUAACACAUGCUCCAAGUAUGGAUGACCCAGGUGAAGAAGGACAUAACACACGCUCCAAGUAUGGAUGACCCAGGUGGAGCGGGAGCCGUGAUGUGUUAUUGAUUAUUGAUUGAGGAGCCCUGAAGCAGAGAAGUCACAUUAACAGUGCUUGCUUGCACUGUGACUUCAGGUGUUUGCAGGCAUUAUUUGGAUGUGUUCCAUAUGACAACAAAGCAAUGGACAUCAUAAAUAAAGCGAGUCCACCAGGGUCUGUGCAUCAUGUGUUUUGUACACCAUUUACUGAAAAGGUGUGCCCUUGAGCAAUGUAUAUCACGUGCCAUGAAAAGAGCAGCUCAGGACAGCCAAAUGUUUUCACUUCUUCUGCUGUAUAAAAUAUUUAGGAUGUCAUCAAUGUCCAGCCUGUAAACAUGUGACACUUUCUUGUGUGCUCGCCAAUAAAAGCGCUGUGUAGCAUAUAGCUUGCUGACACA